rnacentral:rRNA from 1 species
CGCGUAGGCGGGAUGGCAAGUCGGUCGUGAAAUACCUCGGCUCAACUGAGGAGCGUCGAUCGAAACUGCCGUUCUUGAGGGUUGCAGAGGAGACUGGAAUUCCCGGUGUAGCGGUGAAAUGCGUAGAUAUCGUAAGGAAGACCAGUGGCGAAGGCGGGUCUCUGGACAGUUCCUGACGCUGAGGCACGAAGGUCAGGGGAGCAAACG